AUUGAACGCUGGCGGCAUGCUUUACACAUGCAAGUCGAACGGUAACAGGCCGCAAGGUGCUGACGAGUGGCGAACGGGUGAGUAAUGCAUCGGAACGUGCCCAGUCGUGGGGGAUACUUCCUCAAAAAGUUGCCUAAUCCCCCAUCCGAUCUUUGGUUAAAGCGGGGGGCCGUUAAGGCCCCGCGGGUUUGAGCGGGCGAUGUCAGAUUAGGUAGUUGGUGGGGUAAAGGCUCACCAAGCCAACGAUCUGUAGCUGGUCUGAGAGGACGACCAGCCACACUGGGACUGAGACACGGCCCAGACUCCUACGGGAGGCAGCAGUGGGGAAUUUUGGACAAUGGGCGCAAGCCUGAUCCAGCAAUGCCGCGUGCAGGAAGAAGGCCUUCGGGUUGUAAACUGCUUUUGUACGGAACGAAACGGCUCUGGUUAAUACCCGGGGCUAAUGACGGUACCGUAAGAAUAAGCACCGGCUAACUACGUG
rnacentral:rRNA from 1 species